UUUGGCUACACAUACAAUAAAAAAAAAAAAAAUUGGAACAAUACAGAGAUUAGCAUGGCCCCUGUGCAAGGGUGACACACAAAUUCGUGAAGCAUUCCAUAUUUUA
ensembl:snRNA U6 U6 spliceosomal RNA